rnacentral:rRNA from 1 species
GAUGAACGCUGGCGGCGUGCCUAAUACAUGCAAGUAGAACGCUGAAGCUUGGUGCUUGCACCGAGCGGAUGAGUUGCGAACGGGUGAGUAACGCGUAGGUAACCUGCCUGGUAGCGGGGGAUAACUAUUGGAAACGAUAGCUAAUACCGCAUAACAGUAGAUAUUGCAUGAUAUCUGCUUGAAAGGUGCAAAUGCCUCACUACCAGCUGGACCUGCGUUGUAUUAGCUAGUUGGUGAGGUAACGGCUCACCAAGGCGACGAUACAUAGCCGACCUGAGAGGGUGAUCGGCCACACUGGGACGGAGACACGGCCCAGACUCCUACGGGAGGCAGCAGUAGGGAAUCUUCGGCAAUGGGGGGAACCCUGACCGAGAAACGCCGCGUGAGUGAAGAAGGUUUUCGGAUCGUAAAGCUCUGUUGUAAGAGAAGAACGAGUGUGAGAGUGGAAAGUUCACACUGUGACGGUAUCUUACCAGAAAGAGACGGCUAACUACGUG